rnacentral:tRNA from 2 species
GGGCGUUUGGCGCAGCUGGUAGCGCGCAUCCUUAGCAAGGAUGCGGGCUGAGCAAUCAGUUCCGCAAAAUUGACUGGAUGAGGUCGUGAGUUCGAGUCUUACAUCGUCCA